GUGCUUGCUUCAGCAGCACAUAUGCUAAAAUUGGAAUGGUACAGAGAUUAGCAUGGCCCCUGUGCAAGGACGACAUGCAAAUUCAUGAAGCAUUCCAUAUUUUU
ensembl:snRNA U6 U6 spliceosomal RNA